rnacentral:rRNA from 1 species
AUUGAACGCUGGCGGCAUGCUUUACACAUGCAAGUCGAACGGCAGCACGGGAGCAAUCCUGGUGGCGAGUGGCGAACGGGUGAGUAAUAUAUCGGAACGUGCCCAGUAGUGGGGGAUAACUGCUCGAAAGAGCAGCUAAUACCGCAUACGACCUGAGGGUGAAAGGGGGGAUCGCAAGACCUCUCGCUAUUGGAGCGGCCGAUAUCAGAUUAGCUAGUUGGUGGGGUAAAGGCCUACCAAGGCAACGAUCUGUAGUUGGUCUGAGAGGACGACCAGCCACACUGGGACUGAGACACGGUCCAGACUCCUACGGGAGGCAGCAGUGAGGAAUAUUGCGCAAUGGAGGAAACUCUGACGCAGCGACGCCGCGUGAAGGAUGAAGGCCCUCUGGGUUGUAAACUUCUGUAGAGAGGGAAGGAAUUUUCGCCUUCGGCGAAUUGACGGUACCUCUAAAGUAAGGGUACGGCUAACUACGUGCCAG